UUGGAGGGCAAGUCUGGUGCCAGCAGCCGCGGUAAUUCCAGCUCCAAUAGCGUAUAUUAAAGUUGUUGCAGUUAAAAAGCUCGUAGUUGAAUUUCGGGAUCAAUAUGUCGGUCGUGCCUUCGGUACGUACUGGUAUCAUUGGUCUCUCCUUUCUGACGAACCAUGAUGUCAUUAAUUUGGUGUUAUGGGGAGUUAGGACUGUUACUUUGAAAAAUUAGAGUGUUUAAAGCAGGCUUUAGCUUGAAUACAUUAGCAUGGAAUAAUGAAAUAGGACGUUCGAACCUAUUUUGUUGGUUUCUAGGAUCAACGUAAUGAUUAAUAGGGAUAGUUGGGGGCAUUAGUAUUCAAUUGUCAGAGGUGAAAUUCUUGGAUUUAUUGAAGACUAACUACUGCGGAAGCAUUUGCCAAGGAUGUUUUCAUUAAUCAAGAACGAAAGUUAGGGGAUCGAAGACGAUCAGAUACCGUCGUAGUCUUAACCAUAAACUAUAGCCGACUAGGGAUCGGAUGAUGUUAAUUUUUAAUGAC
rnacentral:rRNA from 1 species